rnacentral:rRNA from 1 species
UGGGGAAUAUUGCGCAAUGGGCGAAAGCCUGACGCAGCGACGCCGCGUGAGGGAUGACGGCCUUCGGGUUGUAAACCUCUUUCGCCAGGGACGAAGCGAGAGUGACGGUACCUGGAGAAGAAGCACCGGCUAACUACGUGCCAGCAGCCGCGGUAAUACGUAGGGUGCGAGCGUUGUCCGGAAUUAUUGGGCGUAAAGAGCUCGUAGGCGGUUUGUUGCGUCGGCCGUGAAAACUUCACGCUUAACGUGGAGCUUGCGGUCGAUACGGGCAGACUUGAGUUCGGUAGGGGAGACUGGAAUUCCUGGUGUAGCGGUGAAAUGCGCAGAUAUCAGGAGGAACACCGGUGGCGAAGGCGGGUCUCUGGGCCGAUACUGACGCUGAGGAGCGAAAGCGUGGGGAGCGAACAG